rnacentral:rRNA from 1 species
AGGUAAGCUACUAAGAGCGAAUGGUGGAUGCCUUGACUGGUAAAGGCGAUGAAGGACGUACUAGACUGCGAUAAGCUACGGGGAGCUGUCAAGAAGCUUUGAUCCGUAGAUUUCCGAAUGGGGCAACCCAAUGUAUAGAGAUAUGCAUUACCUAUAUAGGAGCGAACGAGGGGAAUUGAAACAUCUUAGUACCCUCAGGAAAAGAAAUCAAUAGAGAUUGCGUCAGUAGCGGCGAGCGAAAGCGCAAGAGGGCAAACCCAGUGCUUGCACUGGGGGUUGUAGGACUGCAAUGUGCAAGAGCUGAGUUUAGCAGAACAUUCUGGAAAGUAUAGCCAUAGAGGGUGAUAGUCCCGUAUGCGAAAAACAAAGCUUAGCUAGCAGUAUCCUGAGUAGGGCGGGACACGAGGAAUCCUGUCUGAAUCCGGGUCG